AUUGAACGCUGGCGGCAUGCCUUACACAUGCAAGUCAAACGGAUCAGAGGAGCUUGCUCUUCUGGUUAGUGGCGAACGGGUGAGUAAUGCAUCGGAACGUACCCAGUAGUGGGGGAUAACGUAGCGAAAGUUACGCUAAUACCGCAUACGACCUGAGGGUGAAAGCAGGGGAUCGCAAGACCUUGCGCUAUUGGAGCGGCCGAUGUCGGAUUAGCUAGUGGGUAGGGUAAAAGCCUACCAAGGCGACGAUCCGUAGCUGGUCUGAGAGGACGACCCGCCACACUUGGACUAAGACACGGCCCAGACUCCUACGGUAGGCAGCAGUGGGGAAGUUUAGACAAUGGGGGAAACCCUGACUCAGCCAUGCCGCGUGAGUGAAGAAGGCCUUCGGGUUGUAAAGCUCUUUCAGACGGAAAGAAAUCUUCCGGGCUAAUACCUCGGGAGGAUGACGGUACCGUAAGAAGAAGCACCGGCUAACUACGUGCCAGCAGCCGCCGUAA
rnacentral:rRNA from 1 species